UACGUAGGCAGCAAGCGUCGUUCGGAAUUACUGGGCGUAAAGAGUGUGUAGGCGGUGUUCUAAGUUUGUCGUGAAAUCUCCCGGCUUAACUGGGAGGGUGCGGCGAAAACUGGAAUGCUAGAGGAUGGGAGAGGUAAGCGGAAUUCCUGGUGUAGCGGUGAAAUGCGUAGAUAUCAGGAGGAACACCGGUGGCGAAGGCGGAUCUCUGGGCCUUACCUGACGCUGAGGCGCGAAAGCUAGGGGAGCGAACAGG
rnacentral:rRNA from 1 species